UACGAAGGGGGCUAGCGUUGUUCGGAAUCACUGGGCGUAAAGCGCGCGCAGGCGGCUAUCCAAGUCAGUGGUGAAAGCCCGGAGCUCAACUCCGGAACUGCCAUUGAAACUGUUUAGCUUGAGGACGAGAGAGGUGAGUGGAAUUCCCAGUGUAGAGGUGAAAUUCGUAGAUAUUGGGAAGAACACCGGUGGCGAAGGCGGCUCACUGGCUCGUUUCUGACGCUCAGGCGCGAUAGCGUGGGGAUCAAACAGG
rnacentral:rRNA from 1 species